rnacentral:sRNA from 1 species
GCAUUUUGGGGCAGAAUACGCGGCCUGCAAAAAUACGAAUAUAACCGAUGCUUAUCAGAGCCUCGGUUAUUUUUUUUG